GAUGAACGCUGGCGGCGUGCCUAAUACAUGCAAGUCGAGCGAACAGACGAGGAGCUUGCUCCUCUGACGUUAGCGGCGGACGGGUGAGUAACACGUGGAUAACCUACCUAUAAGACUGGGAUAACUUCGGGAAACCGGAGCUAAUACCGGAUAAUAUAUUGCACCGCAUGGUUCAAUAGUGAAAGACGGUUUUGCUGUCACUUAUAGAUGGAUCCGCGCCGCAUUAGCUAGUUGGUAAGGUAACGGCUUACCAAGGCAACGAUGCGUAGCCGACCUGAGAGGGUGAUCGGCCACACUGGAACUGAGACACGGUCCAGACUCCUACGGGAGGCAGCAGUAGGGAAUCUUCCGCAAAGGGCGAAAGCUUGACGGAGCAACGCCGCGUGAGUGAUGAAGGUCUUCGGAUCGUAAAACUCUGUUAUUAGGGAAGAACAAAUGUGUAAGUAACUAUGCACGUCUUGACGGUACCUAAUCAGAAAGCCACGGCUAACUACGUG
rnacentral:rRNA from 1 species